rnacentral:rRNA from 1 species
UGGGGAAUAUUGCACAAUGGGCGCAAGCCUGAUGCAGCCAUGCCGCGUGUAUGAAGAAGGCCUUCCGGUUGUAAAGUACUUUCAGCGGGGAGGAAGGGAGUAAAGUUAAUACCUUUGCUCAUUGACGUUACCCGCAGAAGAAGCACCGGCUAACUCCGUGCCAGCAGCCGCGGUAAUACGGAGGGUGCAAGCGUUAAUCGGAAUUACUGGGCGUAAAGCGCACGCAGGCGGUUUGUUAAGUCAGAUGUGAAAUCCCCGGGCUCAACCUGGGAACUGCAUCUGAUACUGGCAAGCUUGAGUCUCGUAGAGGGGGGUAGAAUUCCAGGUGUAGCGGUGAAAUGCGUAGAGAUCUGGAGGAAUACCGGUGGCGAAGGCGGCCCCCUGGACGAAGACUGACGCUCAGGUGCGAAAGCGUGGGGAGCAAACAGG